UCGUGGAGGUGUGGGGGUGACGGCUGCGUAUGACCGGGUCUCUCCGAGAUCACUGUGGUCUCGGCCACCCGCUGGUAUCUGCUCACCGGGGGUGCUGGGUGAAAGCGGUGGUCUGCAAAAUGACUACGCUAUGUGUGAGUUUGAUAGGAGUCACCAUGGUGAGGAAAGGAAUAAUGGAUUUUCAGUCAUGGCUUCCUUCUUCCCCCGGAGAGCAAUGAGUCUGUUUCCCUUUUUCAAUAACAGCUUUAUUACAGCAUGUUAAAGGGAAACAAGAAGAUGAACAGACCGGGCCUGGCUGUGCAGCGAUCACUCUUCUGAGGAGCCUGUGUGAAGAGAUGCUGGUCUGGGAGUCAAUCUGAGGAAAAGCAGAAGAUAUUUGCUUUAUAUCUGAAGUAUUAUUCAAGUUCACUCCAGAAGACAAGAGAACUGUUGGUACAUGAUUUAUAUAAAGCUCUAAGACCUGGUGCUGAAGGAAACUUCUCUCAGAAGCGUACGUUUAUUGUUUGAUACCUUUGGUGAUACGUGCUGCUUCAUCUACCAUCUCUUUAUAUCUUUCAUGGAAAGGCUCCUGUACAUCACUGAAUCCAAGUGUGGGCACAAUUGCAGAUGGCUGUAAAGACAUGCAGUUUGAAGGAUAUUUAUAUUAUCAGUGUGGUGUAUAGAAACCCAGAUCUACAUGUGCAGGAGUGAAGUCACUGCCUGGCAGAUCUCUCAGCGAUGUCUCAGAAGGAAAGGAAAGCGCUGGUGGGGCUGUGCAGUGGCAGCACAGGGAGAAGUGCUGGGGCUGUGUGAUGGCACGGAGACGGCACUGCAAGGAGGGAGGAAGAGUGAGUGAACCGGCGAGCAGCACGAGCCCAGGGCAGAAACAGACAUCAUCUGGAACUGUCUGCCCACCAAUGCUUUAGAAACAACACUGAUAAUAACAAAGCAUAAACUGGAAAGAUGGCCAUUAUUUGUAAUCACAGGUUUUUAAGCCCAGGACAGUGUGCGCAUUAUAUAACUGCUCUACGCAUACCUUCAGCAUGAAUAUGGAGAAUACAUAUAUCAAGAGCUACAAGAUGAUGAGGCAGGAAGCAAGUUACAUCUUGGAGAAAUUGCCCUCAGGAGAGAGGAAAAACUAUUGCGAGGUUGACAGCACAACCUUGUAGCAGCGCAGUUUGCCUUUCCCAGUGGUUCAAGGAGUUCCAAGCACCCUCUUGUAAAUCAUCGGCUCACAUCUAUUUAUUAUCUUCCAGCCCAGUGCACAACACUAUCUGUUACACACGGAUACCGGCAAUAUUACAAGGUGGACUCCAGGGAUAAGAGACAGCCAACCCCGCACACCUCCCACGCCUGAGUCAUACCCGGGGUAAUGCCAGGUCCUGCUCAUACCUGCUGUCGGCAGAAAUGAAACAGUACGAGCUGUUGUGUUUCAGAGCCUUUUUUAAUUGAUUCUCCAGAAUGCUUGAUCUUACCUGCUGAUAUCCCUGUGUUAUUAUUCAGAGGCACAGUCUAUCUGCAUAGCAAUGGACAAAAUGCCUGUGAAAAUAUUGCUAUUCAUUCAGUCGAUGUCGGAACUGGAGUAGGCACCAGCUACACUCUGCAAUGCUUGUCCUGGAAUAUUAAUAAAUAAAUCAUAAAAGCCAAUGCUUCAAAUAUUGAAAAAUUCACACUUCAAACUGUGUUUUGAACUAUACUGAGAGCAAUGUCUCAGAUUGUCCUUUUGCUUUAUAUGAACAGAGGAAAUUCAAAGUAGGAGGAACUCUCUCUGGGGAUUUGGUGUAGGGGAGUGCCACAAACCAUCAUCCUUCCUGUCUCUGCCAUGCCAGA